rnacentral:rRNA from 1 species
AGGGUUUGAUCAUGGCUCAGAACGUACGCUGGCGGCACGCCUAACACAUGCAAGUCGAACGCAGUAGCAAUACUGAGUGGCAGACGGGUGAGUAACAUGUGGGAAUCUGCCUUGUGGUUCAGGACAACAUUGGGAAACCGAUGCUAAUACUGGAUAAGCCCUUACGGGGAAAGUUUUAAUGCCAUAAGAUGAGCCCGCAUUUGAUUAGUUAGUUGGUGAGGUAAUGGCUCACCAAGACAAUGAUCAAUAGCUGAUCUGAGAGGAUGAUCAGCCACACUGGGACUGAGACACGGCCCAGACUCCUACGGGAGGCAGCAGUGGGGAAUCUUGCACAAUGGAGGAAACUCUGAUGCAGCGAUGCCGCGUGAGUGAAGAAGGCCUUUGGGUUGUAAAGCUCUUUUGUAGGGGAAGAUAAUGACUGUACCCUAAGAAUAAGGUCCGGCUAACUUCGUGCCAGCAGCCGCGGUAAUACGAAGGGACCUAGCGUAGUUCGGAAUUACUGGGCGUAAAGCGCGCGUAGGCCGUUGAGUUAGUUAAUUGUGAAAUCCCAAAGCUUAACUUUGGAACUGCAAUUAAAACUGCUCGACUAGAGUUUGAUAGAGGAAAGCGGAAUACAUAGUGUAGAGGUGAAAUUCGUAGAUAUUAUGUAGAACACCAGUUGCGAAGGCGGCUUUCUGGAUCAACACUGACGCUGAGGCGCGAAAGUAUGGGUAGCAAAGAGGAUUAGAUACCCUCGUAGUCCAUACCAUAAACGAUGAUUGCUAGAUGUUGGAAAUUUAUUUUCAGUAUCGCAGCUAACGCAUUAAGCAAUCCGCCUGGGGAGUACGACCGCAAGGUUAAAACUCAAAUGAAUUGACGGGGACCCGCACAAGCGGUGGAGCAUGUGGUUUAAUUCGAUGCAACGCGAAAAACCUUACCUACCCUUGACAUGUCCGGAAUCCUGGAGAGAUUUGGGAGUGCUCGCAAGAGAGCCGGAACACAGGUGCUGCAUGGCUGUCGUCAGCUCGUGUCGUGAGAUGUUGGGUUAAGUCCCGCAACGAGCGCAACCCUUAUCAUUAGUUGCCAUCAUUCAGUUGGGCACUCUAAUGAGACUGCCGGUGACAAACCGGAGGAAGGUGGGGAUGACGUCAAGUCCUCAUGGCCCUUAUGGGUAGGGCUUCACACGUCAUACAAUGGUCGGUACAGAGGGUUGCCAACCCGCGAGGGGGAGCCAAUCUCACAAAGCCGAUCGUAGUCCGGAUCGCAGUCUGCAACUCGACUGCGUGAAGUCGGAAUCGCUAGUAAUCGUGGAUCAGCAUGCCACGGUGAAUACGUUCCCGGGUCUUGUACACACCGCCCGUCACACCAUGGGAGUGGGUUCCACCAGAAGUAGGUAGUCUAACCGCAAGGAGGGCGCUUACCACGGUGGGGUUCAUGACUGGGGUGAAGUCGUAACAAGGUAACCGUA